rnacentral:rRNA from 1 species
GGCGACGAUCUGUAGCUGGUCUGAGAGGAUGAGCAGCCACACUGGGACUGAGACACGGCCCAGACUCCUACGGGAGGCAGCAGUGGGGAAUUUUCCGCAAUGGGCGCAAGCCUGACGGAGCAAUACCGCGUGAGGGAGGAAGGCUCUUGGGUCGUAAACCUCUUUUCUCAGGGAAGAACACAAUGACGGUACCUGAGGAAUAAGCAUCGGCUAACUCCGUGCCAGCAGCCGCGGUAAUACGGAGGAUGCAAGCGUUAUCCGGAAUGAUUGGGCGUAAAGCGUCCGUAGGUGGUUUUGUAAGUCUGUGGUUAAAGCGUGUAGCUCAACUACAUAACGGCCAUGGAAACUACAUAACUAGAGUCAAGUAGGGGUAGAGGGAAUUCCCAGUGUAGCGGUGAAAUGCGUAGAGAUUGGGAAGAACACCGGUGGCGAAAGCGCUCUACUGGACUUGUACUGACACUGAGGGACGAAAGCUAGGGGAGCGAAAGGGAUUAGAUACCCC